rnacentral:rRNA from 1 species
UAAGCAUAUCAAUAAGCGGAGGAAAAGAAACUAACAAGGAUUCCCCUAGUAACUGCGAGUGAAGCGGGAAAAGCUCAAAUUUAAAAUCUGUCAGUCUUUGGCUGUCCGAAUUGUAAUCUAGAGAAGUGUUAUCCGCGCUGGACCGUGUACAAGUCUCCUGGAAUGGAGCGUCAUAGAGGGUGAGAAUCCCGUCUUUGGCACGGACUGCCAGGGCUUUUGUGAUACGCUCUCAAAGAGUCGAGUUGUUUGGGAAUGCAGCUCAAAAUGGGUGGUAAAUUCCAUCUAAAGCUAAAUAUUGGCGAGAGACCGAUAGCGAACAAGUACCGUGAGGGAAAGAUGAAAAGAACUUUGGAAAGAGAGUUAAACAGUACGUGAAAUUGCUGAAAGGGAAACGCUUGAAGUCAGUCGCGUUGUCCAGGGAUCAACCUUGCUUUUGCUUGGUGUACUUUCUGGUUAACGGGUCAGCAUCAAUUUUGACCAUUGGAAAAAGAUCAAGGGAAUGUGGCAUCUUCGGAUGUGUUAUAGCCCUUGGUUGCAUACAAUGGUUGGGAUUGAGGAACUCAGCACGCCGCAAGGCCGGGUUUUUUAAACCACGUACGUGCUUAGGAUGCUGGCAAAAUGGCUUUAAUCGACCCGUCUUGAAACACGGACCAAGGAGUCUAACAUGCCUGCGAGUGUUUGGGUGGAAAACCCGAGCGCGUAAUGAAAGUGAAAGUUGAGAUCCCUGUCGUGGGGAGCAUCGACGCCCGGACCAGACCUUUUGUGACGGUUCCGCGGUAGAGCAUGUAUGUUGGGACCCGAAAGAUGGUGAACUAUGCCUGAAUAGGGUGAAGCCAGAGGAAACUCUGGUGGAGGCUCGUAGCGAUUCUGACGUGCAAAUCGAUCGUCAAAUUUGGGUAUAGGGGCGAAAGACUAAUCGAACCAUCUAGUAAGCUGGUUCCUGCCGA